CUAUACUUCUAGCUAGCAUAUGCUAUUGUAGUAGGGCUGCUGGACUUCAAUCAAACAAGGGUAAAUCAGUCUCCAGGUGAACCGGUGCUGUGCAGCAUACGAAGAGCUAUAUUUCAGCCAUUUAGAGUAUCUGUAAAUUAUCAUGGACAAAAUUUCUUUCACACAUCAUAUCCUAUUAAACAGGAUUCAGCUGAUUUCAAGAUUUAUAUUUAUUUUCUGAGUGCAUUAGAUAUUGUCAUGGAAUAGGCUGAGUUAUUUUAUUAGGUUGGAUCAGGUUUAAUGUUCCCAUAGUACUCCAAUCAAUUACCUGGUACUGGCAGUACCCUGAACUGAUUUUUUACAAUAUGAGAAAGUGUUCUCAUAUCUUUUGUUCACAGCCAUUUUGCUAUGCCGGCAACAGUCCUCACUGUGAUGAGAAAGGCUGGCAUACACCUUCCCUCCUAUUCUAGAAGUGAGGAACACACUAGUAUCUGUGAUUGUGCUUCACUUCUGCAGUAUGUCUAGAACAUUGGAGCUGUUUUUCAGUGAAGCCAAGACCAUCCAUCCCCAUAAUGGUCUUUAACAGAGGACACACACACACCCCAAGGAGCCAUCCCAGUUCUUUUGGACUGUCCGGUAGAACUAAAUGUAUAUUCCACCUAAGGCUUCCACAGCCAGCAUUUACACUACAGUAUGUGGGAGAUCUUUUCAAGUUCAGUCGACCAAUCACAUCAGUCCCUCUUGUAUCCUCACUUAUCUACAAAUGAACCUUUUCCUAGUCAGUAACCACCAAGGCUCUGGAUGUCUGCAGAAAAAGCAACAUCCCAACAAAAAAAAAUAAAAAAGCAUAAAUGUAGACAGCUUCAGAUGGCAUUGCUACUCAUCAGAAAACACAAAGAGUUUCCGUAUGUUCACAACCAAAUGUCCUUGAAUUCCUUAGGGUAGUGGACAAGCUGUCCUCAGUCAUGCUCUAUGGGUACUGAAUUUGGUGUCUGUGCGUUUUGUAGAACCACAGUUUAAGUCAGUGGUGACUUUUUUGCUGCUACACUUACCUUUAUUCACGUCUUCUGUUGCUGCAAAAAUGUCUGCCCAGACAGCAAACCUGAUUUUUCCUACAUAACAUUCUUGCUUAAAAAACCUGUCUUUUGAAAUCCAUUCUAAGUUUAUUCCCAAAGUGUUUUCUGAGAUUAGUUUAACCCAGAAAUUAAUUUACCUAUUUCCUUCCCUAAAUCUUAUGUAUUUAGGACCAUAUUAUCUUGGCUGCCAGCCAUCAGUAACACUGCACAUAAGGGAAAAGCAAGGAAGAGCUUCUCUAUGUUUCUUUGCUGUCUCAGAACUGCUAAGAUAAAUCUAAAGCUGUGCUCAAAGUAAAAGUAACGAAGCAAUCUCACAUAGGGUUCACAUACCCCACUAAUCAGUUUAAUAAAAAUAAGUUAUGAAAAAUGUGUUCUAUCACGAGAAUAUUCUUCAGUAGAAUUUACUGUAUCCAGCCCUGUCAAGAAAUGUCCCUGUCCCUGGUAUUUCUAACAGGAGCUCACUGAAAUGUGUUGUCUUUUUGCAUAUUUACUUCCUUUUCCACUCUAUCUUCUCCCCAGAAAACUUUUGGCGUCAGGAGUUUGAGUAAACGCUGAGACUGCUCCAGUAUUGCAUCGCACCCUAUAGGGCUGAGAUCCUCCAUUCACACAGACAACUACAGAUGCAGAUAUUUUCUGCUGGUCUUAUGUAUUUGUUGCUGGACAUGCAAAGAACCAAAACUUCAGUGUUCAGAGAACUUCUAGAAAAAUUCUACCAAGAAUACCUUGCACUUCAGCAAAAUGUUGUGGGAGUUUAGUCUACAAGCAGCUGCUAUGUCAGUUUGAAUUUAGUUUCUGUCCUCAGAGCGUAUUUCAGUAUAUGCUUCUGUAUUCUUACAUGGAGAUAAUUGUUUAACUGUGCGGUAAAUAAGUUUAACAGAAAACACUGAAUAAGGAAAAAUUAAUAUAUAAAGAAGAUAGAAAACUGGAAAAGAAGGAGAAAUUAACUAGACACAAAAUAUGUAAAUUAUAUUUUGUUAACAUUCUUUCUAUUAGGGAAUGGACACAGGGGACCAUGAAGAAAAGUAGGUAUAAUAAAAAAAUAGUGACAUAAUUUUGACAAAUGUGCACGUGGGAACCUGAAGAAUGUGAGAGGUAGAAAUUCCUAUUUUUAGCUCUAACAACUGUGUAUUCAGCAGCACUUCAGGACAAACUUAGAUUAGCCUGAUAGCAUUUCAAAUUCCUUUGGGUCUUUGCAAGAUUUAUCUCCUGUAAAAAAUAUAGAGAACCUUUUACAUGUUUCUACUCCACAGAGAAUACAACGCGCUCCUGUAGUUGAAAUAUUCCAAAAUGAACCCAUGCAGCCGACUGUCUCCUGUUUGAUACUUUAGCUGCAUGUUUGUAGAAUUGCAGUGUGCUGUAAAAGUUUUGUGAGUUGACUGUAAGCACCUCCUAUUGAACAGUCUCAUUUCAAAAUUCAUUCCUUCGUUGGUUGUCACAAUUCUUUAUGAGAUACAGAUUACCUUAAUUUUAUCAUAAAUAGUUUUAUGAGCAUUAAAGCCUGCCAUCAGGAGUGGUUUCUGACGUACCAUGUUUUGUUAGAUGUGUGUAUACCUCCAUCUUAGAUAAUAUUAAAACCUCACUAAGUUUCUUCUUUGCAAAGUUUAGGAUGACACAAAUAUAAACAAACACAUUUAAAGAAACACAUUUACUGCGUACACAGAGAGAAUGAUAUAAUUUAUGUUACAGCCAACAGCGUUAAUGUCUUAGCAACUAUUUUUCAGACAGUUGCCUCAUUAGGGGCACCCACCAACCAUCAGUCAGGUCUCAGAUCUCAGUUAACCUUUUAAAGUUAAGUUCAGAGUUUUUCUACUACAAUCCAAACUUCUGUUUUGUUUCUAGUAAUUUUGUUAGCUGGGUAUCCUCGUGGUAGAUAUUCUUCUCACUUUCGAGGGGGAAAAAAACACAUUUUUGUGUAUUCAUAAGUUUCAAGGCAAGUUUACUCAGUCAUGUUAUUGUCUUAAGCAUGCUGCAAACAUCUGGUCACUCUGAUUUAUAGAAGGAGUUUCUGACGAAAGGCGAGUAAAACAUGUUUAGAAAGACAACAAAAUAGCCAAUAAAUUAUAAUAUACAUAAUUUAGAGAAAAAAAUUAAUGUCUAGGUAUAAAUAGUUGCAAAUCAACAAAUUACAAUAUUUAAGAAUGUUAUUAGUUAAGAUUUUUUGGUUGAAUGGUUUUCACUUGUGAAGCAAAAUCUUUCCAAAUGUCUUCUUUUCUGCCACUAGAGGGUACUCCAAGAACUUAGAGUGUAUAACAGAGAUUUAUUUGGGUUUUCUAAUCUGUAAAUUACGGAGUACUGUUGUCAUACUAAACCUUAAGAAUGCAACACCCCAAAGUCUUGAUACUAAACAGCAACUUUCAAAACCAGUCUAAUAUAUUUUUUCAGCAAAAUAGUGUGGCAUACCUGAAUUAUAAGGAACACUGAAUGACAUGUAGUUUAGAUUUAGUUACACUUAUCUUACUUUUAAAUUAUCUAAAUUAUUAUCUUUUCUUUAUUUCAGACACAAUUAUCUGGUUCACAUUCUGUUUCUUCUUCCAGACUUGGACAAGGCGUUCCGUCAUUAGCAGGGUGAAGAACUACAAAACGAGUUCUGAUCUUGGUCCCCAUUUUUCUGCAAGGACCUCUGCAGAGACCCCAGGAAGACCAUUGUGAAACUUCACAGUCCAGUGGUGUUUCUGCAAAAUACACAAUAAAAAGACUUUCCAGGUUUGCAGAAAACAUGUCAUCUUCUUGCUUGCAAUCUUUUUGGACGGACUGCCAGAGGACUGCCUCUAUGUCAACUGCUUCAGGUUCCUACCAGAAGACUGUGAUGCCGAAUAGACGAAAUGCUUUUAAAAAAUACCUUGGAUUCCUACUAACAGUUUGGAUUUUCUGGUGACUUUACAGUUCUCUGUUCUUAUUAAUGCCUCUAAGCUAUACAAAUGAACUGAUUCCAACACUGGAAAAGCUCUAUCAAAUACACUUUAAAUGAGAAGCAUG